rnacentral:rRNA from 1 species
CCUACGGGGGGCAGCAGUCGAGAAUCAUUCACAAUGGGGGAAACCCUGAUGGUGCGACGCCGCGUGGGGGAAUGAAGGUCUUCGGAUUGUAAAUCCCUGUCAUGUGGGAGCAAAUUAAAAAGAUAGUACCACAAGAGGAAGCGACGGCUAACUCUGUGCCAGCAGCCGCGGUAAUACAGAGGUCUCAAGCGUUGUUCGGAAUCACUGGGCGUAAAGCGUGCGUAGGCUGUUUCGUAAGUCGUGUGUGAAAGGCGCGGGCUCAACCCGCGGACGGCACAUGAUACUGGGAGACUAGAGUAAGGGAGGGGGAGCCGGAAUUCUCGGUGUAGCAGUGAAAUGCGUAGAUAUCGAGAGGAACACUCGUGGCGAAGGCGGGUUCCUGGACAUUAACUGACGCUGAGGCACGAAGGCCAGGGGAGCGAAAGGGAUUAGAUACCCCUGUAGUC